UAGGGAAUCUUCCACAAUGGGCGCAAGCCUGAUGGAGCAACGCCGCGUGUGUGAAGAAGGUCUUCGGAUUGUAAAGCACUUUCGACGGGGACGAUGAUGACGGUACCCGUAGAAGAAGCCCCGGCUAACUUCGUGCCAA
rnacentral:rRNA from 1 species